AACCUUAGCAAUGUGCGAAAGCACGACUGGGUCAGUCCGAGUGAUUCCUGAUAAAGGAGUCUUUUGCUUGUCCUAAAAGCACAGGUGAAUAAGGGGUGGGCAAGUCUGGUGUCAGCCGCCGCGGUAAUACCAGCACCUCGAGUGGUCAGGACGUUUAUUGGGCCUAAAGCAUCCGUAGCCGGCUUUGCAAGUCUUCGGUUAAAUCCACCUGCUCAACAGAUGGGCCGCUGGAGAUACUACAGAGCUAGGGAGUGGGAGAGGCAGACGGUAUUCAGUGGGUAGGGGUAAAAUCCUCUGAUCCAUUGAGGACCACCAGUGGCGAAGGCGGUCUGCCAGAACACGUUCGACGGUGAGGGAUGAAAGCUGGGGGAGCAAACCGGAUUAGAUAC
rnacentral:rRNA from 1 species